rnacentral:lncRNA from 12 species
GCAACAGCUAGAAUCUUCUGUAACGAAAAAAUAUUCAGAUAAAAAAUGGAAAUUCUGUUAAUAACACAGGUUUUAAAUCAAAUAAUCCAAACUCUCUGGACAGACAAAAAUAUCCAACUCUUGACUGACGACUUCAUUCUGGAGCCAUGUUCUGUGACACCAACACACCUAACAAGUUUCGUAUGUCUAAGAAGUCUGGCAUGCUGUGGAGAGUCUGACAUUUGCAAAGAUGUCAGAUCAUUCAACUGAUUCAUUGCUCAGUUAUAUCUGCUUUGUAUCGAGAACCUUGCUAGGUGAUAGAGGUAAUAGAGGUGAAAGAGUGCAUUUAGGAGAUUACGACAGGAUUUCCCAGAAUCAAUCACAGUGAUGUUUGAAGGAAGGGGCGAGAUGUGCCUUGUUCACUAUGGUGCUGGUGCCAUAAGCACAAUGCUUCACGGGGUAGGUAUUCAACAAAUGUGAAUCUUUUCUGGGGGUGUCAGUAAAGUCAGUGUUGAGGUGGAGAAAUCAGGAUAAUCAAGGCAAAUUCUGAAUCACACAAUUAUGAACAUGCCUCUCUAUGGAAGAAAAACCACUCACAGUUGUCAAAUAUUAGUGCUAAAGGAGAAAAACAAAACCUGGGGAUCUUGUAAACUAACGAUACUCUGCAGGUAAAGAUUUUAGGGUCAAAUAAGUGAUGCAAUAUGUGUAUUACAUUACCAACUCUAUAGCAUUUACAUUGAAAAAGCUAUCAACAUAUAGAUUUUCAUAGUUUGCAGAGAACUUUAGCCUCUGGUAACACAUUUCAUGCUCCUAACAGCCCUCUGAAGGAGAGGGUGCAAAUUUUAUCUACAUUGAGAAACUGUCAUAUUAAGGUGAAAUGGUUCAUUCAAUUUUGGUUAACUAGAAAAUGGUAGGGUUCACAGGGAAAGUGGUCAUAAUAACAGAAACAUCCAGACCUAGGGUAGCUUUUGAGGACCCCAAUUUAGAAACAGAAGCAGUUCAUAUUUUUAGGUAAUAAAUCCUGCCCACUCACCCCUAAGCUGAAGAAU